UACAGAGGUCCCAAGCGUUGUUCGGAUUCACUGGGCGUAAAGGGUGCGUAGGCGGUCGGGUAAGUCUGAUGUGAAAUCUCACAGCUUAACUGUGAAACUGCAUUGGAUACUAUCCGGCUAGAGGAAUGGAGGGGAGACUGGAAUACUUGGUGUAGCAGUGAAAUGCGUAGAGAUCGUGAGGAAGACCAACGGCGAAGGCAGCUCUCUGGACAAUUCCUGACGCUCAGGCACGAAGGCCAGGGGAGCAAACGGG
rnacentral:rRNA from 1 species